GCACUGCUGAGGAGUCCCAUAAUAGGACGAAACGGCCGUCGAGUGU
rfam:Schistosoma rodhaini strain Burundi genome assembly, scaffold: SROB_scaffold0010605